rnacentral:rRNA from 2 species
UAACUUUGUGCGGUGGAUCACUCG